ACAUUUGUCAGUGAGUUGUUCUUCAAAGGUUUUUAAAAGUUCUUCUUUCUUUCUUUUCAUUGAAGGCUUUUCCGGGAAACGUCAACUCCGACAGUGUGGUUCGGCACGACCUACAGCACGCAGUAGUUGCCCGCUAUGUACGCAUUGUGCCCCUGGACUGGAAUGGAGAAGGCCACAUAGGGCUGCGUGCAGAAGUCUACGGCUGCUCAUAUUGGGCUGACGUUAUCAACUUUGAUGGCCAUGUGGUGUUACCAUAUCGAUUCAGAAACAAGAAGAUGAAAACACUCAAAGAUGUUAUUGCUUUGAAAUUUAAGACCUCUGAGAGUGAAGGAGUACUUCUGCAUGGUGAAGGACAGCAAGGAGAUUACAUUACUUUGGAACUGAAAAAGGCCAAGCUGGUCUUCAGUUUAAAUCUAGGAAGCAACCAGCUUGGGCCCAUCUAUGGCCACACAUCUGUGACAUCUGGGAGCCUGCUGGAUGAUCACCACUGGCACUCUGUACUCAUUGAGCGCCAGGGACGCAGCAUUAACCUGACCCUGGACAGGAGCAUGCAGCAUUUCCGCACCAAUGGAGAGUUUGACUACCUGGACUUGGACUAUGAGAUAACAUUUGGAGGCAUACCUUUCUCUGGCAAGCCAAGUUCCAGUAAUAGGAAGAACUUUAAGGGCUGCAUGGAAAGCAUCAACUACAAUGGUGUCAAUAUUACCGACCUUGCCCGAAGAAAAAAAUUAGAGCCAUCGAAUGUGGGGAAUCUGAGCUUUGCUUGUGUGGAGCCCUAUACAGUACCGGUCUUCUUCAAUGCUACAAGCUAUCUGGAGGUGCCUGGAAGGCUUAAUCAGGACCUGUUCUCAGUCAGUUUCCAGUUUAGGACCUGGAACCCCAGUGGUCUCUUGCUGUUCAGUCACUUUGCAGAUAACUUAGGCAAUGUGGAAAUUGACCUUGUGGAGAGCAAAGUGGGAGUCCACAUAAACACUACACAGACCAAGACAAGCCAAAUCGACAUCUCCUCAGGUUAGUGUCAUCCGCUUGGAUUUGCUUCUGAAGUUGCUAUCAAUGGUCCUAAAGCUGAAGGUGAU
rnacentral:lncRNA from 14 species